GCUGUACUGGUUCGAUUGGGAUACUCAUCAAUAAUUACCUGAAAACCGAGAAUGCCGACCUUGAUAAUGGCGUGCCAACAUGCAUUUGCAGAGUUGGAUUACAGAGUCUUGGAGGCGCUCAAAUCUUAUUUUCUCUCGGAGUUUCAUCACAUCACCAGUGCAGCCCUUUU
rnacentral:sRNA from 1 species